CAGCCGCCGCGGUAAUACGAAGGGUGCAAGCGUUAAUCGGAAUUACUGGGCGUAAAGCGUGCGUAGGCGGUUUGUUAAGUCUGUUGUGAAAUCCCCGGGCUCAACCUGGGAAUGGCAGUGGAUACUGGCUCGCUAGAGUGUGUUAGAGGAUGGUGGAAUUCCCGGUGUAGCGGUGAAAUGCGUAGAGAUCGGGAGGAACAUCAGUGGCGAAGGCGGCCAUCUGGGACAACACUGACGCUGAGGCACGAAAGCGUGGGGAGCAAACAGGAUUAGAUACCCCGGUAGUCCCUGUCUCUUAUAC
rnacentral:rRNA from 1 species